ACGAAUAAACCUCGAACAGUUAGUUUCAUAUCAUAACGUGUUAAAAACAUCCGGUCGUUUCUCCUUGCGCAACACGAAAGGUCGUCUAUAGCGUGUAAACAUAAAUAAUAUACCGUCAGUAUUGGAUUGCAAACCACGGUCAUCCGACGACGUAUUGUCACGGUUGACCGAAAAACCGCGUCACGGUACACGAGAUAACCAUCGCCCAAGAAUGGUAUCGCGGUGUUUUUCCUCGAGCAAAAGUUGAUAACGUGCGUUCAACUAAUGAUCUCAAUCUAACCAAUACAUUUUGAACUGUUUUGUAUUCG